UACUUGAGUUCUUGCUUCCUGCUGUAGUAGUACUGCAUUUGCUGUUGGAUGCUUUGGAGCUCUGCUUCUAGCUUCCUCUGUACCUCUGUUUCUUCUCUGGAACUGUGCGUUCUUUCUUCCAAUUCAGCUGAAUGGAACUUGCAUUUUGGUGACUCUGUUUUCUCAGUAAUUCUUCAGGUGACAGCAAACGUGACUGUAAGUUUGGUUGCAACUUCUCCAACUCUCUUCUCUUUUGACUGGCUUGGGAACAGGCUCCUAUCUGACCAUGCAC
rnacentral:lncRNA from 1 species